GUUCUCACUUUCAGCAGCAGUACUAAAAUUGGAACGAUACGGAGAAGAUUGGCAUGGCCUCUGGGCAAGGAUGACACGCAAAUUCAUGAAGCAUUCCAUAUUUUU